UACCCACCUCACUUUCCCCGCUCCCUUCAAUCUCCUACUGGUGCCUUCCUCUGGCCAAUCCCUACCCAAAUCCACAGGGCAAGAGAGCCCCAUCAAAGUAGUUCAGUGAGAUCUGUGUCUUGGGGCAUAGUGUGGUAUGAAUAAAGGCCAAGAGAAAAUAGGCAGGGUUGGACGUAGAACCCCCAGAACAGUUAACGAUGGCUGCAUGUUUUUCCAUUUUUAGUGGUUUGUAGCAUACAGCUGCCCCCUCCAAUCAAGGACUUCUUAGAGUCAAUGAAUUCCGACACAUGCGAGGUAUCAGAGAGCUUUAGAACCCGAGGGAAUCCGAGACAGCACUUGGAGCAGGCUCCUCAUUGUAGAGAUGAGAAAACAGAGGCUUAGAGAGUGGAAAUGUCUUGCUCAAAAAGCCACAGCAAGUAGCGGAGUUAGGCGUGGAAGCUAGGUCUCCUAACCAUCAAACCCAGUGCUCUUCACCGUAUAUUGCCCUCUUUCAAGACUGGAUGAACAAAAAUACAUUUCUGACUCAGGCCUCACAUUUUUCACCGCUCCAAGUCAAGCUGGUCUCCAAAGGCUUUUCUCUGUACCCAAUUAUCAUCAGCAACACGAGGGCUAAAUAUUGACUGAAAAUAGAAAAGGCAUCAUCUAGAAUGUCUGAUUAGCAUUGCGGAAUAAAGCUUUAGGGGCUCUAAUUCCUCAGGCUUAGAGGAGAUUCUAUCUACAUUCAGUGGGUCCUCACUGUAUUUAUCAAGGCUGGACAACUCAUCCUUAAUAAAAAAUAUCCAAGUUUUCAUUGCAGGUACUCUGGAAAAAAAAAAGGUCAGCUAUACACUGGGGAAAGUAUUCAGGACAGUUGCAAGGGAACACAAGACAAAAAAGAUGCUGGUAACCAUGCAUGUGUUUAGGGGGAGAAAUUUAAAUUGAGGAAGAGAAAAGGCUCGAAAACUGAUAAAUGGGGUGUGUCUCAGGCCAUCGUUCACAUUAACUACAGCUAACAGGCAAUAGUUCGUUUAAGUAUCAAGUACCUUAAGGGUCAAGGUCCAAUGUGCCAUCUUCUCCACAUCACUGCUUCUUAAAGCUUUUAUUGUGCUUGCACAUCAACUAAGGAUCCUGUUCUAGUGAAUAUUCGGAUUCAUUCUGGCUGGGGGCCCAACAUUCUUCAUUUCCAGCAGGUGCCCAUGUGAAGCAAUUACACUUUGAGAAGCAAGUCUUCAGCUCAUAACAGGCACAGAAUUUCCAUGUGGGGUACAGUUCAGUGAAGAGCAAAGAGCAUGGGCUUUGGGAUGUGAAAUGGGGAGCUCCCUAUGGGGUGAGGUGGGAUGUGAACUGGGGAGCUCCCUAUGGGGUGAGGCUCUAUUAUACACUAGCUGGGUAACUUGGGCAAGUUACUUAACCAUUCUGAGACUCAUGCCUUUUUUUUUUUUUUUGUCCUUUGUCAAGCACAGAUAAUAAAUGAGGUAACAAUUUGUAAUGCCUCUGAUGUACAGUAGGUGCUCAAUAAAUGUCAUUUCUAUCCCUUCUUUCGUCACUACCCAUGAUUCACUGAGGAGUGGGCAAAGGGAGUGAUGGUGACAGGGUUCCGAUUUAUAGGACGCUAAGUGUGCAAAAACCAAACCGUGGGUCAGAUUCAAUAGCUUAAGCGGCAGAAAGAGUUGUUCGACGUCAUCCUAGCCUUACAAAUAGACACCAGACAGUCUUCCAAUUUGUGUGUCUCAAUUUAGCAUAUGUGCUUUGCUCCCAAGACAGCUAAGUUUAAAAACAGGAGAAAGGUAACAUACAAUGAAUUUUCAAGGAUAUGCAUCUUCAAGUACAUGUAAUAGAACACAUGAGAGAUACAUGGAAAGUGAAUUUAAUGAAAAAGAUAUUACACUUUGUAGCAAGUACAGGGUGGCACAAAACUUCGGUCUGGGGUACAUAUUCCAUAGAGAAGCUUAGAAGUAAGCAUGUUAAGCGGUUAAGUAUUGCUACUAAUUUUGCACUACACAUGGCAAAACAAGUACAUAGGAACAGUCAUUUGCAGCCAACAAGAAAACCAAGAAAACUAGCAAAAUGAAUGCCGACCUCCCAUCAUUUCUGGGGAAUUUAAAAAAAAUAUUAUCGUUUCUUAGAUCUUCCAUCCUCUUCCCCCACCCCCCCCAAAAAAAAUAAAAUGAUACAGUAUCGUGCACUUAAAAAUUUGUUAAGAGGGUAGAUCUCAUGUUAAGUAUCCUCACCACACUGGGAAAAGAAAUAACUGUGUUAUCAAGCCACAAAAAGAUACAGAGGAACCUUAACGCAUAUCGCUAAGUGAAAAAGCAACUCGGAAAAGGCUAUGUACCGUAUGAUUCCAAAUAUAGGACAUGCUUAGAAAAGGCAAAACUACAGAGACAGUGAAAAGAUCAGUGGUUGCUAGAGGUUGGAGCAAAGGGAAUUUUUAGGGCAGCAAAAUGAUUGUGUAUGAUAAUGUAAUUACGGAUACAGGAUAUUUAUGUAUAUUUUGUUAAAAGUCAUACGACAACUGUAAGAUACCAAGAAUGAACCCUAAUAUAAACUAUUGACUUUAAUUAAUAAUAAUGUACCAAUAUCAGUUAAUCAAUUGUAAUAAUUGUAUCAUACCAGUAAAAGAUGUUAAUUACCAGAGAAACAUGUGACGGAGGGGAGUGGUAGGACAUGGGAACUUUGUACUUCCUGCUUCACUUUUCUGUCAACCUACUACUGCUCUAAUUUUAGUCCAAAGACUAGUUAAUUUGAAAACAGAUCAACGUCGUAUCAGAGCAGGAGUUUAGGAGAGGAAACUGGCUGCCCAAGAGGUGGGUGCCAGGGACAAAGCAGAAAUGAACAUGCAUGUAGAUGACCCAGACCUUGGCAGAGUUUGAAAAAUUGCCACUUUUACUUCUUCCCAAAGGGAGAUGCUAUUCCAAUGUCUCAGUGUCCUGGUGAUCCUUAGCUGUUUUUAGGAUAUUGUGUCUGCUCUCUCUGGCCCACUCACCACUGGAAUGCAUCUUUAGGAACAGAGAAAAACAGCCUACUUGUGACAGCUACACUCAAUCCAGGUAUGGGGACCUAAUGCAUUCAGAGUUGGGCCAGUUCUUGCCCUGAUGAUGUGAUACCCCUCUCAGAGGCUCUUUAAAUACACAAAUAACCUUUAUUUAGAGGACUCCUGCCUGGUGGAUGGAAGAAAGGAAAUCUCCAAUGGCGGGAACUCUCCAGUGGCGACAAAGACUCUCCUCCCUAGGUCCUUAGCAACUCAUACCUGGCGCAAGGUAGAGACUCCAUUCAGCAAAGAGGAGCCCUGUCUCUAACCAGACCUGUCUCAUCAACCACGAAUUGCUCUUCAGGCAUGGGAUCCCCUCCUCACUUGUCUACUCAAGCAGACAUUAUUCCGUCCUGCUAAUACCAUACUCUUCCCAAAAGGAAUUCUCCGCCUCAUUACCUUUUCAGGGAUGUUUAAUACCCCUUAUAAUUUGACACCCUGGGAAGCAGCCGGGGGCAGCCCCCUCUCUCCCAACCUGGCUCUGUGCAUUCAGAUACUUUGCAAACAAAUGAGGCUAACAGAGCUGGGAUUGGAGGUGACAGGAAAAAGCUGAAAAUUAAUAAUAGCAUUCCCAUUCGCCUACGUGGAAAAAAAGCAUUCAAGACAUCUCGGGGUCUGGGCUACACCCCAUCCAUCAGAGGGACAAUGUAAGAAGAUAUUUAGGCAUUAAGGAGGACAACUUAAUUGCAGGUAGUGAGGAAGGUCAAAGGCAAGAAGAUGCAGGAAAGUCUCGACAUUUAUUUCUCCACGUCAAGCAAAAGCCAAAGAUCUCUCUUCAAAAAUGUCCAUUUAUGAAUGAUGAACAGUGGAAAGGAUGGAAACAAAAAUAAAUUCCCAACACUCAAUCAUUCUAACUACAGCUCAAACAUAAAUGAUCGACCUAAACUGUUUUUAAUGGAAUGACUCCCUUCCUUGUUUCCAAAUGUCAAAGAUUUUACAAGUUUUACUGUCAGGACUCAUCGAUUCCCAUGGAUUUGCACAAACAAGAUUCAACUUUGAAAACCAAAUGAAACUUUGGCUAAGUAAGAAAAAAAAUGCUUGGAAGGAGCAAUCAGAUUCCUUCCCAAAGUAAGCACAUCUACCAAUAAAGAGAUAAAAAUCAAAUAUUUUGAUUCAAAUAAAUAUCUAGUUCUCUGCCCUUCUAUUAAGAGACAUUUUCUCCCUCAGCAAAUGCCAAUAAUGUAAAGUUUUGCUUUAACUAUUAUAAUGAAAUCUUUUUACUUGCUUGUUGUAUCAAUUUCCACCUCAAUAGAGAAAAGGGAAAAUAUAUUCGAGACAGUUAUCCUCCUGUGCUGAAAUACUGGAGAGAAAAAUCUGAUUGACUACCCUGGAUGACAUAUCACUUAUUGGUAAUACCAACUAUAUAUUCUAAUUCCUUUUUCCCAGUAUGAAAGGAACCCUCUGCUGGAACACUUUAAUAAAUUCUAAUGUGGUAAAUGAGGUUCCAGGUACCAUCAUUGCCAAUCUUCGAAAUACCAGGCAUUCCUCAUAAUGACAACAUUAGUUUGAAUUUCUAUGGAGUUUGUUUUGGCAGAAUGGUAAAUUUCCCCCUGUAGAUGAAAAGCAUAACUCUAAAUAAAAUCCCUGUGAGGAAGGCAGGUUUGAGCUCUCUGACCUAAGUGACAGGCAAGGGGCCGUGGAAAGAAAGGAUCAUUACACUGAACAAAGAUGUUAAGGAAAAGGGUGGAAAGAUGCUUUGGUUCCACAACCUUUCAAGAAAAAACACAUUUCCCUCUCUCUCAAAUUAAACACUUUUGCAACAUGUCCUAUCUAAUCAGAUGAAGUAGGAAAUUUCAGCCUAAAAAUAAGUAACUAUCAUCCAUAAUGGGUGACAGAGAAAAGUAAGGUGUUUUAGGUAUUGUUGUUGUACACUGGAGACCACUUCAUUGUACACAGAAAGAUUAAGACCUAACCAAGCACUCAGGGAAAGGAGGGCCUAAGAGAUUAUGAACCACAGAUUUCUCUCACUAACUCACUAAUACUGACUUUUUUUUCUCCCCAUGGUGGGGUAAAAUUUACAAAGCAUAUUUAUACAUAUGGCCACGUGGAAUAUCGCCAAUUACUCCAAGACAGCCCAAUUAUCCCUACUUUAUAGGUGAAUAGAUCAAGGCCUAGACUGGCUAAACUUGACUGAGGUCACAUGGUUGGUAAGUAGUCAAGGCAAGACGUGAACUAAGGUCAAUCUGAGUUCACGUUUAGAUUCCUUCUACCUCACCAUGGUUACCUUGCAAUCAGUAAUGUCCAAGUUAGCGAUCCAAUCUGUCAUCAAGAUGCAGAUUUGGUCCAAAUAAUAUAGUCAAGUUAAUUUGUCCCCUAAUGAAAUGUUUUCUCAAACUGUGAUCUCCUUGUGUUAGAAUCACCCAAGAAGCUUGAUAAAAAUAUUAGAGUCUUCUAGAGAUUUUGUUCAGUAGGUUUGGAGCCAUGCUCUGGAAUCAAUGUAUUAAAUUUACACCCCAGAUGAUUCAGAAAAUCCUUUGGAAUCCUCGAUGUGGCCCAAUUUCCAUGGCUCUUGCUCAGAACUUGCCAGAUCCAACUUUUGUUAUGGUUUUGCCUUUACAAACUGCCUCACUGUAUUUGUUUUCUUUAAUUUCAGAGGCCAUAAAGGAUAACAUUGUGGGAGGAAAGCCCUUCUGCCAACUUCUAAAGGCAAUGCUCAGUUUAAUGUGACAAUAUCUACAUGGAAGAAAAAACAAACACUGAUCACAGCCCAAAUGCCAUAGUAUUUCACUCUGAGGUGCUUUGGGGACUUGACAUCUUCAUCAACUUUGCUUCUAAAAGUGGGGUUUGCCCUUUCUUUUCCCCACAGCUUUCUCCUCCCCUGCCUAACAUAAGCCUUGUGGUAGCAGGUGAUGAUGAGGCUAAUAUUACUGCGAAUCAGGCAGGCUUAAUUCAUCCUUUAGUUAAGUAUUUAAUGAUGAUGGAUCAUAUAUUUGUCUAAGUCUCUUAAGGAAAGGGAGGCCAAGAAUAAAAAAAUCCCAUCGAAAUAUCUUUGUUGGUGGUGCUUUUGUGACCAUGAAAAUCUACAUCCUGAUGACUCCAGUGACAGUAACAACAUAAGCAAAAUGAGAACUGAUACACCACAUCUUCCAUGUAUUCUGCAGGUGCUAUUUACAAACUAAACAGAUUAAGGUGUCCCUUUACAAUUUAAUUUGACUGAGGGAAAAUCGAAGGCUGCUCCAAACAAGGAGUGAGGUUCUCCAGGCAAGGCUGUGUUCUCUCCUUCUGAGAUGCUGAGAUGCUAGGCUGGAGAGCACACAUACUCUGUGCUUUUAUCUACGCCAGGAGAGGCUGGAAUGAGCUGUCUAGGGUUGUAACUAAAGCACUGGUAGAAAGGCUGCUUUUAAAAGACCCAUCAAUGAUCAUAUUCAGAGAUUUUUCUUUCUUUCUUUUUCUCUGUCUUUAUAGGGCCACACCCACAGCAUAUGGAGGUUCCCAGGCUAGGGGAAUCGGAGCUAUAGCUGCCGGCCUACACCACAGCCACAGCAACUGUGGAUCCAAGCUGUGUCCGCGACCUACACCACAGCUCAUGGCAACGCAGGAUCCUCAACCCACUAAGCGAGGCCGGGGAUGGAACCUGGGUCCUCCUGGAUACUAGUUGGGUGCGUUAUUACUAAGCCACCUCCAUUCGGAGAUUUUUCUUGAUCUAUCUGCAUCCCAGUUUUCUCAUCUGUUAACUAGAAGUUAGAAACAGCGGUUUCAAAAGAUGCCUACUGGUCUAACAUUCUCUGAUGUUACAUUUUUGUUUUCAUUUUCACUUACCACACAUAUUUUUCAAAUUACCCACUAAGCACGAAGAAUAUAGCUGUGGAACCACCGAAAUAGCGUCUCUGCUCUUUAUGAAGCUUACAUUCUAGGGAUGCGGUGGUGAGGGUUAACUGACACAGGCAUUAAGGAACUCAAUACAUGAAUAAUAUAAUUGUGAUCUACGUACUGAAGGGGAAAUAGAGGCAGGCUGCUGCGACCUCGUCAGGAAGAGGGAGAUCAGGAGGUUUCCCUGAGCAGGCUAAUAUUUAAGACCUGGAUGAUGAAUGGUAGGACUAGUUAAAUAAAUACAAACUAUCCCUGUAAUGUAAUACC
ensembl:lncRNA